UAUAUUUGCCGCCUGAAAGAAAAACUUUCACAUACAUAAAAAUCAUUUAAAUAAUAUUGGAAUG
rnacentral:ncRNA from 1 species